rnacentral:rRNA from 1 species
CGACGCCGCGUGGGUGAAGAAGGCCUGCGGGUUGUAAAGCCCUUUACGGUGGGGAAGAAAAGUCUCGGCUUAAUACGUCGGGACCUUGACGUAACCCACUAAAGAAGCACCGGCUAACUCUGUGCCAGCAGCCGCGGUAAUACAGAGGGUGCGAGCGUUAAUCGGAAUUACUGGGCGUAAAGCGCGCGUAGGCGGCUUUUCAAGUCGAUUGUGAAAUCCCCGGGCUUAACCUGGGAACUGCAGUCGAGACUGUCUAGCUAGAGUAUGGGAGAGGGAAGUGGAAUUUCAGGUGUAGCGGUGAAAUGCGUAGAUAUCUGAAGGAACAUCAGUGGCGAAAGCGACUUCCUGGACCAAUACUGACGCUCAUGUGCGAAAGCGUGGGGAGCAAACAGGAUUAGAUACCCUGGUAGUCCACGCCAUAAACGAUGAGAACUGGAUGUCGGGAGGGUCUGCCUCUCGGUGUCGUAGCUAACGCGUUAAGUUCUCCGCCUGGGGAGUACGGCCGCAAGGUUG